AGUGAACGCUGGCGGUAGGCCUAACACAUGCAAGUCGAACGGCAGCACAGUAAGAGCUUGCUCUUACGGGUGGCGAGUGGCGGACGGGUGAGGAAUACAUCGGAAUCUACUUUUUCGUGGGGGAUAACGUAGGGAAACUUACGCUAAUACCUCAUACGACCUACGGGUGAAAGCAGGGGAUCUUCGGACCUUGCGCGAUUGAAUGAGCCGAUGUCGGAUUAGCUAGUUGGCAAGGUAAAGGCCCACCAAGGCGACGAUCCGUAGCCGACCUGAGAGGAUGAGAGGCGACAGUGGAAAUGAGACACGGGCAAGAAUAAUAAGGGAGGCAGAAGUAGGGAAUAUUAAGCAAGGGGCGAAAGCAUGAAGGAGAAACGCCGCGUGAGUGAUGAAGGUAUGCGGAUCGUAAAACUCUGUUAUGAGGGAAGAACAAAUGGGUAAGUAACUAUGCACGUCUUGACGGUACAUAAUCAGAAAGACACGGAUAACUACGUG
rnacentral:rRNA from 1 species